rnacentral:rRNA from 1 species
UACGAAGGGGGCUAGCGUUGCUCGGAAUUACUGGGCGUAAAGCGCACGUAGGCGGCUCUUUAAGUCGGGGGUGAAAUCCUGGAGCUCAACUCCAGAACUGCCUUCGAUACUGUAGAGCUUGAGUUCGGGAGAGGUGAGUGGAACUGCGAGUGUAGAGGUGAAAUUCGUAGAGAUCGGAAAGAACACCAACGGCGAAAGCACUCUGCUGGGCCGACACUGACACUGAGAGACGAAAGCUAGGGGAGCGAAUGGG